UGAUAGAAGGGCUAGAAACUAACUCUACUGCAAUUGUCAAUCGUUUCCGCUCUUCUGCUGCAAGUCCACUUACUCCUGAUGGCUUUUGCAACUGUUCUUGAAGAAGCCGGCCAAACUGGGAAGAUUCAAAAGAAUCUGAAAACUUUUGCACAGAUAGAUACUGAUAUUCCCCUUCGCAUCUCAUCACCUAUUAUUAUGUCUGCACACUCAUGCAAGCCAAGUAUCUGAAAAGAUAGGUCAUUUAAAUGUAAGAAGAUACUGAACAAGAUUUUUAUUCCAUGGACAGCAAACUAAUUUGUCAACAAAGCCACACAAAAAGAAACAAAAGAAGAGAUAUGCAAAAGAUACAUGAGCAAGCAAGGAGAUGGUGGAUCCUCCAGCCUCACCACCAGGGAAAAGGAAUGCUGACAUCGAGGGAGAUGGGAAACUAGUAUGGAGGUUAUUUGCAAGCUUGUGAAGACUGAUCCACUACAUCUGUUCUUGACACAGCUUAUCUUACUUGGCUUGAGAUCCACAUAAGCACUAUUUCUAUUGAGUUCAGGGACAUUUCGGCCAUGGACAUUUAGGGCAUGCCACAGUAAGCCGAGCGAAUCUAGGUGAUGAAGUUGCAGCUUUUUCCACCAUCAGAUGAUAAAGACUGAAGGUGGAGGUUAUAUUGAGUGGAUACACAAUUUGCUACCAGCUUCAUGAGCAUAGAAAUCCGACGAAGCAUCAGGCAUACAUUUCUCCUAUAUUCUACCCUAUACUCCCUGUUUAGCUGCAGAAUGGUUUAGUCCAUGGCACCUAAAUCAGGCAAGUUCUAGCUGAAACAGUGUUUACUCAACUUUAUAGCAAGUAUAAACAAAAAAAGGUGCAGGUAAUAUGGCGAGACUAGUAACUGGAAGUUGAAUAUAUUGUGGCCUCUGGUAGAGAUGGAAGUCAACUCUGCAGGUACUAAUUACUACUUGCUCUACUCGUUUCUGUGCAGACGUUGCGGGAUCAAAGGAAGAAAAGAUAAUAAGAGAAGGCAUCAUCUUCUCAAGGACUCAAACCCAACUGGUGAUCAAAGGUCAAGAACACGUGUUUGUCUUACUAGAGCAUGGUGGCA